AUUGAACGCUAGCGGGAUGCCUUACACAUGCAAGUCGAACGGAGUGGCGAACGGGUGAGUAAUGUAUCGGAACGUGCCCAGUAGCGGGGGAUAACUACGCGAAAGCGUAGCUAAUACCGCAUACUAUUGGAGCGGCCGAUAUCGGAUUUGGUAGUUGGUGGGGUAACGGCUCACCAGGGCGACGAUCCGUAGCGGGGUUGGUAGGACGACCCGCCACACUGCGACUGCGACACGGCCCAGACUCCUACGGGAGGCAGGAGUGGGGAAUUUUUGACAAGGGGGGAAACCCCGAUCCAGCCCGCCCGCGUGUGCGAUGAAGGCCUUCGGGUUGUAAAGCACUUUUGGCAGGAAAGCGGUACCUGCAGAAUAAGCACCGGCUAACUACGUGCCAGCCGCCGCGGUAAUUC
rnacentral:rRNA from 1 species